CGCCCGCAGCCGUCGAUCCGCGUCCUCAUCCGCAGCUGUCGAUCCACGUACUCGCCUGCGGCCGGCCAAAUCUCUGUCCUCGCGCAGCCGCUGUUGUCCUCCGUCGCCCACGGGCGCUGUCGUGGUCUUCGUCGAAUCGUCGCUGCGGAAGUGCGGACGGAUCUCGUCCACGCCGUCAAAAGGCAGAGAAAUGGAGAACGGGAAAUUACUACUACAAAGAAUGACAUCAUUGUGAUAGAACCUUGGGCAAGAUGCAAUUUGUGUAGCUUCACUUGCAGAGCCAACCCACGGAAUGGGACCUCGAUACUUUACAUACAUCUUCAACAUAGGCAUAAUAUGUGAUGAUUUGGAUGUUCUAUCAGAGUGUCAUUCUUGUGAACUGUUGACAUUUUGUUGUAUUUCUAUUAAGUGCUAUUGUAAACGAUAAAAACAUCUGUAUUUUUGCUGCUAAGAUCGCUAGGAAA